rnacentral:tRNA from 2 species
GGGCGGUUAGCUCAGUUGGGAGAGCGCCAGAAUCGCACUCUGGAGGUCGGGGGUUCGACUCCCCUACCGUCCACCA